GGAUCCAGACUUUGAUCAUGGCUCAGGACGAACGCUGGCGGCGUGCUUAACACAUGCAAGUCGAACGAGAAGAGAUGAGAAGCUUGCUUCUUAUCGAUUCGAGUGGCAAACGGGUGAGUAACGCGUAAGCAACCUGCCCUCUAGAUGGGGACAACAGCUGGAAACGGCUGCUAAUACCGAAUACGUUCUUUCUGUCGCAUGGCAGAGGGAAGAAAGGGAGGCUCUUCGGAGCUUUCGCUGGAGGAGGGGCUUGCGUCUGAUUAGCUAGUUGGAGGGGUAACGGCCCACCAAGGCGACGAUCAGUAGCCGGUCUGAGAGGAUGAACGGCCACAUUGGGACUGAGACACGGCCCAGACUCCUACGGGAGGCAGCAGUGGGGAAUCUUCCGCAAUGGACGAAAGUCUGACGGAGCAACGCCGCGUGAACGAUGACGGCCUUCGGGUUGUAAAGUUCUGUUAUACGGGACGAAUGGUACGACGGUCAAUACCCGUCGUAAGUGACGGUACCGUAAGAGAAAGCCACGGCUAACUACGUGCCAGCAGCCGCGGUAAUACGUAG
rnacentral:rRNA from 1 species